GUGACAAAUGGCAGCUGCAGCAAAGCAACACCAAGAGCAGGCUUCAUCCUGGAGAGCGAACACUGCACCCCCUCCUCAGGCUCACUGUGCUCUUUGCAUUCUGAGAAACUACUCUGAUAAGGAAUGAUCCCUGAAGAUACAGUCUUCAAAACUGAUUUUUAUCUUCUUUUAUUUUCUUACUGUUGAAGUACCGAACUGCAAAUAUGGAAAGGGAGAAAAAUAGAAAGAAUCCUGAGGUUUUGGAUUAGAAUGGUAGCAAUCAAUACAAAUUCAUAGUUUCUAACAUAGAGUAGCUGUAGAUAUAUCUCUGUGUGUGUAUGUACAUAUAUACAUCUAUUCCCUAAUCCUGUCUUCUGAUAUAGCUUGGGAGCAGCAUCAUUCCAACAGUAAUGAGCACACCCACCACCUAUACCUUGGUGUCUUACUCUGUUUCUGUUGCUAUGACAAAAAUAUUUGAGAGCCAGUAAUUUAUAAAGAAAAGAGGUUUAUUUAGCUCCUGGUUCUGGAGCUGAGAAGUGCAAGAGCAUGGUGCUGGUGAGGGCUGUCUGGCUGAAUCACAAAUGGCAGAGGGUGUCCCAUAGUGAGUCAGCACGAGUCUGCUAGCUCAGGUUUCUCUUCCUCUGCUUAUAAAGCCAUUAAUGCCUUCAGGGGGGCUCCACUCCCUGGCCUCAUCUAAUCCUGAGUACCUCCCAAAAACCUUACCUCCAAAUAACAUCAGCAUGUGGCUUUAGGGAUUAGGUUUCCAACACGUGAGAUUUUAAAGACACAGAGCACUUGGUAUCCAGAUACCAUUCUCUACGAAAAAGAAUCAAGGCUCCCUGAACAAAUGAGUAAUUCCAGGGUUUGGGAUGAUGAUGGUACCAGGAUAAGUCUGGAACAUCUUCAGACAGUAAGGACACCUGCAAGAACCAACAUGGCUAUCUCAAAAGGACAGGGGUGCCAAUCUGCAAGGGCCCUUGGCCACAUUUUGGUCAAUAUGAACACCAAAAUGAAUAGACAGGAAUAUAUUACAGUGUGUUGGGUUAUUGUUGCUAAUUGUUACUAAAAUUGCAAAUGUUAGGGAAAGCUUUUUUAAAAUAGACUACCAAUGAAUAAAUGCAGAAUAAAUGAUAGAAAAUCACCAUUUUACAACCACCACAGUAAUAACUGAUUCAAGCAAAAAUCACCAUUGGGCAGAAGGUUUGAGACAACAGAAUUUUCACAGGAUCUCAUGCAGAUUUCUUAUUAAUUAUACAAGAAAAACGUACUGCGUUAUUGGUGGGCUUGGCAAGCACAGUCCUAACCAAGUGAUCAAAGCUAACAUCUCCAAAUGAUCAUGCACACUGAUAUCAUGUACCCCCGGGGGAAGCACUGAGGAGUACGGAGCAUUCCAGCCAAAGAUGUUGGUGCUAAUCACAAGGAAAGAAUCACUGAGUUCCAAAUAAAGGCACAUUUGGCAAAACAACUGGAACUUAGGCUCCAAAAAUAUCAGUGGUAUGGAAGACCAAGAGAGAAGAAAUAAAGAAAUAAGACAACUAAAUGCAACCUAUCAAUAAAAGAGCAGGAGGAAAAAACACAUACACCAUCAAAGACCUACUGACGUGGGAAAAUCUGAGUAGGGGCUAUAUGUUAGAGAAUGAUAUUACAUUAUUGUUGAAAACGUUGGCUUUGUUAAUUAUGUUGUGGGUGUGUGGGAAAAUGUCCUUGUUCUUCAAAAAUAUAUGCUGGAGGCAAGGCAUAGAAGUAUAUGCUUGUAACCUAAGAGACUGGGGAGGCUGAGGCAGGAGAAUCACAAGUUCAAGGUCAGCCUGGGUGACUCAGCAAGACCCUACCUCAAAAAUAAAAUAAAAAUGGCUGGGGAUGUAGCUCAGUGGUCAAGCACUUGCCUAGUAUGCAUGAAGCCCUGGGUUUAGGGCCCAAUCGCAGAGAAAGAAAAAAGGACAGUAAGGACACCUGCAAGAACCAACAUGGCUAUCUCAAAAUACAUGCUGGAAUAUUAAGGGGUGCAUUAUCAUCAGUCCUACAAUUAACUCUUAACUGGUUUAGAAAGUAAAAUUACUGGGUGCUCCUCAGCCUGACCUCAGAGAUGUAAGUGCGUCAUUUAAUUUUGAAAUACUUGAUGUGGGGGUGGGUUCCAUAAUCUUAAGGUGAUUGACUUCAAAUGUAAUAAAUCAUGCAGGAAACACUGCAUGACUUCAAAUUUAAAAAAAGUAAUGGAAAUGUUUUUUAUAUUGUUUGGUGAUGCAUAGCUGAUUUUAUAUUGAUUGUAUUGUUUGUAUACAUAUAAAAAUGGAUCAAACAGCAUAUUUCAAAUAUGUGCAUUUUUCUGUAUUUUAAUUUUACCUCAAUAAAGCUAUGGGGGAAAGUUUUUUUUUAAAAAAAAGUAAAUA
rnacentral:lncRNA from 1 species